ensembl:lncRNA
CCGCCUCGAAGUUCAGACGCUGCUGGUUCCAAAAAUGAGUUCGGCUCCGUACUCACACGGAGAUAAAAGACAGGCUGAUAAAAGGAGAGAGUUCCGGAAGCGUGACUGGUCCAUCGAGCAACCUCCUCUCUUGCCAGAGGAAGACUCUCAUCCUCAAUCAUCAGGACCCGACGGCGUACAUGAAGGGCAACGUGUCAAGAGCGAGACCGGUUCCAUUCCAAAAUGACGACAAGGAGGACAAAGCUGGGAUAAUGCAUGUGUGAUCUGCUGAAAAGAUGACGAACUGUUCGUCCUUAUUCCAGCAACAGAGCAUAUAAACACAGACCUACACCCAAUUUAACUGCAUUAAUUCCAAGUGAUUGUAAUUCUAUAAUCGUCCACUAGAGGCCACUAGACAGAUAGCGAAAACUGACUUGGGGGGGACAUUUCAUAUGAAAAAAGAAGAGAGACAGAAAGAUGGAAACAGAUGCGGUCAUUAUGAUGGCGGUGUGUAUUCACCACAGCACAACAAUGGCAGAG